rnacentral:rRNA from 1 species
AGUGAACGCUGGCGGUAGGCCUAACACAUGCAAGUCGCACGGCAGCACAGUAAGAGCUUGCUCUUACGGGUGGCGAGUGGCGGACGGGUGAGGAAUACAUCGGAAUCUACUUUUUCGUGGGGGAUAACGUAGGGAAACUUACGCUAAUACCGCAUACGACCUACGGGUGAAAGCAGGGGAUCUUCGGCCCUUGCGCGAUUGAAUGAGCCGAUGUCGGAUUAGCUAGUUGGCGGGGUAAAGGCCCACCAAGGCGACGAUCCGUAGCUGGUCUGAGAGGAUGAUCCGCCACACUGGAACUGAGCCACGGUCCAGACUCCUACGGGAGGCAGCAGUGGGCAAUAUUGGACAAUGGGCGCAAGCCUGAUCCAGCCAUACCGCGUGGGUGAAGAAGGCCUUCGGGUUGUAAAGCCCUUUUGUUGGGAAAGAAAAGCAGCAGGUUAAUACCCCGCUGUUCUGACGGUACCCAAAGAAUAAGCACCGGCUAACUUCGUG